CAGACUUUAGUACAAGUCAUAAUUGUUGCAUAAAUUUGUCUAGCCUGAUAUUACAGCGGAAAAUUAUAUCUAUGAAAGCUCACAUUCAUAAUUAUUACCUGGAAAGUGUCACUUGAAAAAAUGUUGUACUUUUACCUCCUACGACUUCAACAGCUUCUGAUCAAUUCCAACACAGGCACUCGCUUUUAUAAUCCUGUACCGCGCAGUAAAUCUGGAGGCUCUGGGAACGAAGAUGACGUAAUACAUAUCAAACGCAGGAAGUCGUUCAGUACACGUGCAGACUUGUUUUUCCAGGAAAUACGCAGCGGUGUUUCAGCUCGGUUCGGAAGGUUUUGUUGUGCAUAUAAGAAAGGAAUUAGGAGUACUUAGCUCAUUAACAUUAGGUUCGGCACAUGAAAAGUUCAACGUUUGACCCUGGCCUUAGUUUGAUAUACUGAAAAAGUCAGAUCGAAGAAAGACUAUAGUACUGCAUUACUGCAUGUAAAGCAACCUAAAUUUUUCCACAAAAUUUUUCAUUAGAAACAGGAUGUCAAUUUUGCUGUCAUAUUUGCAUUUUCAAUGUUCCUUCAGCAGUUAAUUAUGGAUAAUUAUAUAUGUCACCCUGGAUGUCAACACAGAUUCAAUCAUAGCAAUUAGCGGUAUAAGAUAUCCAUUUACUCAAUCUUAACCAAUCAUAUUUCGUUACUUCUUUCUUCCUUCAGCAACUUCUAUUGUGAUAAAAUUUAAUAGCGAGGGGGGGGGGGGGGUCCCGUUUUGACAUACAAAACAUUUUGAAGUAAAAAAGAGCUUGGAUUAACAAAAAUGUCGAGAAAGACGUGUUCAGAUUCUGACGUGCCGUUGACCUGUACAUACAUCCAUCUUUAGUUGAAGUCAGAAGAAAAUUAAUUUAUAUUCGAGAAAUUUGGUAACAAAAGAAUAAGUCAAGUGUAAUUGCUUGUAUUCUGUUGGUGUUCGUUGGUUUGGAUUUUGUCGUUGGUUCCCUGCAAUGUAUAAGUGGCAGCAGUGUUUUAUUAUUACAAAUCUCUUUCUCUCCCUUUUACAUGUUGCAGACACUGAGGACAUUUUAUGAGAAAUAUUUUUCAGGUAGUUCAGACACAUAACCACGGCAAAAUACUAUACCAAUACUGGACCACCACGUUUGACAUCUCUAGUUUCCCUUUCAAAUUGUUGGGCCGGGUGGGGGCUGCGAGCAGGCUAGUUUCAAGUAGUUCAGACACAAACCACGACAGUCGAC